rnacentral:rRNA from 1 species
GUCUAUGGCCAUACCACCCUGAAUGCGCCCGAUCUCGUCUGAUCUCGGAAGCUAAGCAGGGUCGGGCCUGGUUAGUACUUGGAUGGGAGUCCAUAGAUGCAGAAAAAAGCAUUUGACA